UUGGAGGGCAAGUCUGGUGCCCGCAGCCGCGGUAAUUCCAGCUCCAAUAGCGUAUAUUAAAGUUGUUGCAGUUAAAAAGCUCGUAGUUGAAUUUCGAGACCGGCUUACUGGUCGUGCUAUUGUACGUACUGGUAUAAUCGGUUUCUCCUUUCUGACGAACUAUAAUGCCAUUAAUUUGGUGUUUUAGGGAAUCAGGACUGUUACUUUGAAAAAAUUAGAGUGUUUAAAGCAGGCUCACGCUUGAAUACAUUAGCAUGGAAUAAUGAAAUAGGACAUCCGAUUCUAUUUUGUCGGUUUCUAGGAUCGAUGUAAUGAUUAAUAGGGAUAGUUGGGGGCAUUAGUAUUCAAUUGUCAGAGGUGAAAUUCUUGGAUUUAUUGAAGACUAACUACUGCGAAAGCAUUUGCCAAGGAUGUUUUCAUUAAUCAAGAACGAAAGUUAGGGGAUCGAAGACGAUCAGAUACCGUCGUAGUCUUAACCAUAAACUAUGCCGGCUAGGGAUCGGAUGAUGUUAAUUUUUUAAUGACUCAUUCGGCGCCUUACGGGAAAC
rnacentral:rRNA from 1 species